rnacentral:rRNA from 1 species
UCCAGACUCCUACGGGAGGCAGCAGUGGGGAAUAUUGGACAAUGGGGGGAACCCUGAUCCAGCGACGCCGCGUGAGUGAAGAAGUAUUUCGGUAUGUAAAGCUCUAUCAGCAGGGAAGAAAGAAAUGACGGUACCUGACUAAGAAGCCCCGGCUAACUACGUGCCAGCAGCCGCGGUAAUACGUAGGGGGCAAGCGUUAUCCGGAUUUACUGGGUGUAAAGGGAGCGUAGACGGCGAUGCAAGUCUGAAGUGAAAGGCGGGGGCCCAACCCCCGGACUGCUCUGGAAACUGUACGGCUGGAGUGCAGGAGAGGUAAGUGGAAUUCCUAGUGUAGCGGUGAAAUGCGUAGAUAUCAGGAGGAACACCGGCGGCGAAGGCGGCCUGCUGGACCGUGACUGACGUUGAGGCUCGAGAGCGUGGGGAGCGAACAGGAUUAGAUACCCUGGUA